rnacentral:rRNA from 1 species
CUACGGGGUGCAGCAGUGGGGAACAUUGCACAAUGGAGGAAACUCUGAUGCAGCAACGCCGCGUGGAGGAUGACACUUUUCGGAGCGUAAACUCCUUUUAUAUAGGAAGAUAAUGACGGUACUAUAUGAAUAAGCACCGGCUAACUCCGUGCCAGCAGCCGCGGUAAUACGGAGGGUGCAAGCGUUACUCGGAAUCACUGGGCGUAAAGAGCGUGUAGGCGGGUUAAUAAGUCAGAAGUGAAAUCCUAUGGCUCAACCAUAGAACUGCUUUUGAAACUGUUAACCUAGAAUAUGGGAGAGGUAGAUGGAAUUUCUGGUGUAGGGGUAAAAUCCGUAGAGAUCAGAAGGAAUACCGAUUGCGAAGGCGAUCUACUGGAACAUUAUUGACGCUGAGACGCGAAAGCGUGGGGAGCAAACAGGAUUAGAUACCCGUGUAGUC